AAAGCGUGGGGAGCGAACAGGCUUAGAUACCCUGGUAGUCCACGCUGUAAACGGUGGGUACUAGGUGUGGGGUCCAUUCCACGGGUUCCGUGCCGUAGCUAACGCUUUAAGUACCCCGCCUGGGGAGUACGGCCGCAAGGCUAAAACUCAAAGGAAUUGACGGGGCCCCGCACAAGCGGCGGAGCAUGCGGAUUAAUUCGAUGCAACGCGUAGAACCUUACCUGGGUUUGACAUGGAUCGGGAGCGCUCAGAGAUGGGUGUGCCUCUUUUGGGGUCGGUUCACAGGUGGUGCAUGGCUGUCGUCAGCUCGUGUCGUGAGAUGUUGGGUUAAGUCCCGCAACGAGCGCAACCCUUGUUCACUGUUGCCAGCAAUUCGGUUGGGGACUCAGUGGAGACCGCCGGGGUCAACUCGGAGGAAGGUGGGGAUGACGUCAAGUCAUCAUGCCCCUUAUGUCCAGG
rnacentral:rRNA from 1 species